ensembl:lncRNA
GCUUUUCCAUCCCGAGUUUAUUCCGGACCCGGGGGCGACUUUUCAAUAUGAAAAACAAAAGAAAGGGAAAAAAACAAAAACAUCCAAAAAUGGGAGAGAGCGACCGGACACCGGAACGGCGACGGAAUCGGGAAAAAGGGACAGAAAUGGGUAAAAAUGAACAAAAAAAAUGGGGAAAAAAAAUCAUAAAAAUUGAGAAAUAUGAACCCAAAAGAAGGAAAAAUGGGUAAUAAAAUGACUGAGUAAAAAUAGGGAAAAAUCAAGUAAAAACUGGGAGAAAGGACCCAAAAGUAGGGAAAAAGGAAUGGAAUUGGGCUGAGAAUGACCAAAAGUGGAAAAUAAAAGAGGAAAAAUGCAAAAAAAUACUAAAAAUGGGGGAAACGGACCAAAAAUGAGGAAAAAUUGAUGAAAAUGAAGACAAAUGGGGAAAAAGGAGGAAAAUUAAUCAAAAAAGGGGAAAAUGACAAAAAAGAUGGAAAAUAACAAAAAAAAUUGGGAAAAACUGACAGAAAUUGGGAAAAAUUACAAAAAAAAUGGGGAAAAUGGAACCAGAGUGGGGCAGGAGAGGGAACAGGAGGCUGUGGUGGGAGUGGGGGAGGGGCAGAGGUGUCGAUGAUGAUGAUGGUCAGCAACUCUUCCAUGAUGAGAGUUAAGGUCAAAAACUCUUGGAGGCUCUUCCAUGAUGAAGACGAUGAAGAUCGAGGGUUUUUCACGGACCAUGAUGAAGGCCAAGGGAUCUCUGAAGCUCUUCCAUGAUGAGGAUGAUGAAGGUCAAGGCCAAGUGACUAGCCCUGAUGAAGACCAAGGGCUGAGAGUGAUGAAGACUGAAGACUCUGCAAGGACCAUGAUGAAGGCCAGGAGCUCCUGGAGGCUCUGUGAGGAGGAUGAUGAUGAACUCUGGGAACUCGAGGACGAUGAAGGCUGGAGACUCCUUGACGAUGAUGAACCUCGGGGAUCCUUCAACGAUCAUGGAAGUUGGAAGCUCUGACAAUCAUCAGGAUUGGAGACUCUUCAAUGAUGAUGAGGACUGGGGAUUCUUUGAGAAUGACCAUGAUGAAGGCUGGGGACUGUGAGGACAACGCUGAAGGCUGGGAACUCUUCGAAGAUGAUGAUGAAGGUUAGGAACUCUUCAAUGCUGAUGAAAAUUGGGAACUCCUCAGGAAUGAAGAUGACAGAAGUUGGAAGGUCUGACCAUAAUCAAGAUUGGACACUCUCCAAGGGUGACAAAAGGCCAAGGACUCACUGAUGAUGAUGAAGGUUGGAGACUCUUUAAGAUGGUGAAGCCUGGGACUGUGAGGACAACGCUGAAGGUCGGGUGGGGACUCCGCUGCCGCUGAUGACCAGGGCCAACACUGACGAUGAAGGACAAUGAUGAGGAAACUGAAGGCGCCACCCACCAGUUGACGCCUCUCUGGGACAACACACCGGGAAGGGGAAGAGCAACACUGCCGAGGACCACAACCUCUGGAGAAACCCCUCAGGCCUCCUCUUCAGCCUCCUCGCCGAAAUCCUCCUCCUCCUCGGCCGUGGCAUCCUGGUACUGCUGGUACUCGGACACCAGGUCGUUCAUGUUGCUCUCGGCCUCGGUGAACUCCAUCUCGUCCAUGCCCUCGCCCGUGUACCAGUGCAGGAAGGCCUUGCGCCGGAACAUGGCCGUGAACUGCUCCGAGAUGCGCUUGAAGAGCUCCUGGAUGGCCGUGCUGUUCCCGAUGAAGGUGACGGCCAUCUUGAGGCCGCGCGGCGGGAUGUCGCACACGGCCGUCUUCACGUUGUUGGGGAUCCACUCCACGAAGUAGGAGCUGUUCUUGUUCUGCACGUUCAGCAUCUGCUCGUCCACCUCCUUCAUGGACAUGCGCCCGCGGAAGACGGCGGCCACGGUGAGGUAGCGGCCGUGCCGCGGGUCGCAGGCGGCCAUCAUGUUCUUGGCGUCGAAGACCUGCUGGGUGAGCUCGGGCACGGUGAGGGCGCGGUACUGCUGGCUGCCCCGCGAGGUCAGCGGCGCGAAGCCGGGCAUGAAGAAGUGCAGCCGCGGGAAGGGCACCAUGUUGACGGCCAGCUUGCGCAGGUCGGCGUUGAGCUGGCCGGGGAAGCGCAGGCAGGUGGUGACGCCGCUCAUGGUGGCCGACACCAGGUGGUUGAGGUCGCCGUAGGUGGGCGUGGUCAGCUUGAGGGUGCGGAAGCAGAUGUCGUAGAGCGCCUCGUUGUCGAUGCAGUAGGUCUCGUCCGUGUUCUCCACCAGCUGGUGCACGGACAGCGUGGCGUUGUAGGCUCCACCACCGUGUCCGACACCUUGGGGGAGGGCACCACGCUGAAGGUGUUCAUGAUGCGGUCGGGGUACUCCUCGCGGAUCUUGGAGAUCAGCAGCGUGCCCAUGCCCGAGCCGGUGCCGCCGCCCAGGGAAUGGGUCAGCUGGAAGCCCUGCAGGCAGUCGCAGCUCUCGGCCUCCUUGCGCACCACGUCCAGCACCGAGUCCACCAGCUCGGCGCCCUCCGUGUAGUGACCCUUGGCCCAGUUGUUGCCGGCACCGCUUUGGCC